rnacentral:rRNA from 1 species
UACGUAGGGUGCAAGCAUUGUCCGGAUUUAUUGGGCGUAAAGAGCUCGUAGGCGGCUUGUCACGUCGGAUGUGAAAACUCGGGGCUCAACCCCGAGCCUGCAUUCGAUACGGGCUAGCUAGAGUGUUGCAGGGGAGACUGGAAUUCCUGGUGUAGCGGUGAAAUGCGCAGAUAUCAGGAGGAACACCGGUGGCGAAGGCGGGUCUCUGGGCAACUACUGACGCUGAGGAGCGAAAGCGUGGGGAGCGAAC